rnacentral:rRNA from 1 species
UACGUAGGGUGCGAGCGUUGUCCGGAAUGAUUGGGCGUAAAGAGCUUGUAGGCGGUUUGUCGCGUCUGCCGUGAAAUUCCGGGGCUCAACCCCGGACUUGCGGUGGGUACGGGCAGACUAGAGUGUGGUAGGGGAGACUGGAAUUCCUGGUGUAGCGGUGAAAUGCGCAGAUAUCAGGAGGAACACCGAUGGCGAAGGCGGGUCUCUGGGCCACUACUGACGCUGAGAAGCGAAAGCGUGGGGAGCGAACAGG